GGAAAGAGGGGUUUGUGGCCAGAUUGACAGAGGAAGGGUGGAUGGAGAGAACUGAGCACUCACUACACUGGAGCAGAGAGCAGGACCUUCAGUUCUGUGGCGGGAUCGAUCACUGUUGAUAAGGUUCCUGUGCACGCGGUGGAUGAAGAUCAACCCUUGGACUGAACAAGUAGCGAGCUUCUCUUUAGCUGAUGCUGUUUGUUUUCUGUGAAAAUCAGAGCGUUGACUGACUCGUGUGUCCCGCGUCGGAUUUAAGCUACACUGUCCCCAAGAUGGCUGUUGGCGUGUAAGUGAGAUAGGUCAGGAGAUUCCAAACGGCAGGUGGUUGGUACCAUUAAAUGCAACCUUUCUUUAUCUAAGAAAGACACAAAAGCCUCAUGGGCGUAAGGUGAGCGGAGAGGAGACACUAAAACGAAUUAAGAGGCCUAUCGGUGUAACUUUGGAGUGUCUUUCACUUGUAGCUUUAACGAGACUAGCGCUGCUGUUUACGGCUUUCACAGAGAGCCACUGAUACAAGCCUCUCAGGCUAAACCCUGAUUGUGUCUGCAAACAAAAUGACGAUCCACUCUUUGAAAAUCCCUAUUCUCAGAUGAGUAAAUGAGUAAAUGUGACCAGUCAGAUGAACCCAAGUGUAUUAGUCUUACCUUUGAAAUCAUUUAAAAAAAAAAAAAAAAAAGGAAUUU